rnacentral:rRNA from 1 species
GACGAACCGUGCGAACGUUAUUCGGAAUCACUGGGCUUAAAGCGCGUGUAGGCGGGAUGGCACGUCGGUCGCUGAAAGCCCCCGGCUCAACCGGGGAAGGGGCGCCGAUACGGCCGGCCUGGAGGGACGUAGGGGGGCCUGGAACUUCCGGUGGAGCGGUGAAAUGCGUUGAGAUCGGAAGGAACGCCCGUGGCGAAAGCGAGGUCCUGGACGUCUGCUGACGCUGAGACGCGAAAGCCAGGGGAGCGAACGGG